AUUGAACGCUGGCGGCAGGCUUAACACAUGCAAGUCGAGCGGGAAUAGGUAGCUUGCUACCGAUUUCUAGCGGCGGACGGGUGAGUAAUGCUUAGGAAUCUGCCUAUUAGUGGGGGACAACAUUUCGAAAGGGAUGCUAAUACCGCAUACGCCCUACGGGGGAAAGCAGGGGAUCUUCGGACCUUGCGCUAAUAGAUGAGCCUAAGUCAGAUUAGCUAGUUGGUGGGGUAAAGGCCUACCAAGGCGACGAUCUGUAGCGGGUCUGAGAGGAUGAUCCGCCACACUGGGACUGAGACACGGCCCAGACUCCUACGGGAGGCAGCAGUGGGGAAUAUUGGACAAUGGGGGGAACCCUGAUCCAGCCAUGCCGCGUGUGUGAAGAAGGCCUUUUGGUUGUAAAGCACUUUAAGCGAGGAGGAGGCUACUCUAGUUAAUACCUAGGGAUAGUGGACGUUACUCGCAGAAUAAGCACCGGCUAACUCUGUGCCAGCCGCCGCAGUAA
rnacentral:rRNA from 1 species